rnacentral:rRNA from 1 species
AUGCAGUCGAACGAUGAUCCCAGCUUGCUGGGGGAUUAGUGGCGAACGGGUGAGUAACACGUGAGUAACCUGCCCUUGACUCUGGGAUAAGCCUGGGAAACUGGGUCUAAUACCGGAUACGACCAUUCCACGCAUGUGGUGGUGGUGGAAAGCUUUUGUGGUUUUGGAUGGACUCGCGGCCUAUCAGCUUGUUGGUGGGGUAAUGGCCUACCAAGGCGACGACGGGUAGCCGGCCUGAGAGGGUGACCGGCCACACUGGGACUGAGACACGGCCCAGACUCCUACGGGAGGCAGCAGUGGGGAAUAUUGCACAAUGGGCGCAAGCCUGAUGCAGCGACGCCGCGUGAGGGAUGACGGCCUUCGGGUUGUAAACCUCUUUCAGUAGGGAAGAAGCGUAAGUGACGGUACCUGCAGAAGAAGCGCCGGCUAACUACGUGCCAGCAGCCGCGGUAAUACGUAGGGCGCAAGCGUUAUCCGGAAUUAUUGGGCGUAAAGAGCUCGUAGGCGGUUUGUCGCGUCUGCUGUGAAAGACCGGGGCUCAACUCCGGUUCUGCAGUGGGUACGGGCAGACUAGAGUGCAGUAGGGAGACUGGAAUUCCUGGUGUAGCGGUGAAAUGCGCAGAUAUCAGGAGGAACACCGAUGGCGAAGGCAGGUCUCUGGGGCUGUAACUGACGCUGAGAGCGAAAGCAUGGGAGCGAA